GCCCCUAUAGCUCAGUUGGUUAGAGCACCCGACUCAUAAUCGGUAGGUCCCUAGUUCAAGUCUAGGUGGGGGCACCA
rnacentral:tRNA from 1 species